UCUGAUUUGAUGCUUGCAUUGAUGAAAGAUGAGCGGCGGACGGGUGAGUAACGCGUGGGUAACCUGCCCUAUACACAUGGAUAACAUACUGAAAAGUUUACUAAUACAUGAUAAUAUAUAUUUACGGCAUCGUAGAUAUAUCAAAGUGUUAGCGGUAUAGGAUGGACCCGCGUCUGAUUAGCUAGUUGGUGAGAUAACUGCCCACCAAGGCGACGAUCAGUAGCCGACCUGAGAGGGUGAUCGGCCACAUUGGAACUGAGACACGGUCCAAACUCCUACGGGAGGCAGCAGUGGGGAAUAUUGCACAAUGGGCGCAAGCCUGAUGCAGCAACGCCGCGUGAACGAUGAAGGUCUUCGGAUCGUAAAGUUCUGUUGCAGGGGAAGAUAAUGACGGUACCCUGUGAGGAAGCCCCGGCUAACUACGUGCCAGCAGCCGCGGUAAUACGUAGGGGGCUAGCGUUAUCCGGAUUUACUGGGCGUAAAGGGUGCGUAGGUGGUCUUUCAAGUCGGUGGUUAAAGGCUACGGCUCAACCGUAGUUAGCCUCCGAAACUGGAAGACUUGAGUGCAGGAGAGGAAAGUGGAAUUCCCAGUGUAGCGGUGAAAUGCGUAGAUAUUGGGAGGAACACCAGUAGCGAAGGCGGCUUUCUGGACUGCAACUGACACUGAGGUACGAAAGCGUGGGUAGCAAACAGGAUUAGAUACCCUGGUAGUCCACGCUGUAAACGAUGAGUGUUAGGUUCUUGGAAUAAUCUGGGACCGCAGCUAACGCAUUACACUCCCCUGGGGAUACC
rnacentral:rRNA from 1 species